AAACUUUCAACAAUGGAUCUUUUGGUUCUGGCAUCGAUGAAGAACGCAGCGAAAUGCGAUAAGUAAUGUGAAUUGCAGAAUUCAGUGAAUCAUCGAAUCUUUGAACGCACAUUGCGCCCCUUGGUAUUCCGAGGGGCAUGCCUGUUCGAGCGUCAUUU
rnacentral:rRNA from 1 species